rnacentral:rRNA from 1 species
CCUACGGGAGGCAGCAGUGAGGAAUAUUGGUCAAUGGGCGAGAGCCUGAACCAGCCAAGUCGCGUGAAGGAUGACGGCCCUACGGGGUGUAAACUUCUUUUGUCAGGGAGCAAGUGGGUCCACGCGUGGGCUUAGCGAGAGGACCUGAAGAAAAAGCAGCGGCUAACUCCGUGCCAGCAGCCGCGGUAAUACGGAGGAUGCGUGCGUUAUCCGGCUUGAUUGGGUUAAAAGGGUGCGUAGGCGGAAUAUCAAGUCAGCGGUAAAACUUCGGGGCUCAACCCCGUCGUGCCGUUGAAACUGCUGUUCUUGAGUGGGCGAGAAGUAUGCGGAAUGCGUGGUGUAGCGGUGAAAUGCAUAGAUAUCACGCAGAACUCCGAUUGCGAAGGCAGCAUACCGGCGCCCAACUGACGCUGAGGCACGAAAGCGUGGGUAUCGAACAGGAUUAGAUACCCGGGUAGUC